rnacentral:rRNA from 1 species
UAGAGUUUGAUCCUGGCUCAGAAUCAACGCBGGCGGCGUGCCUAACMCAUGCAAGUCGAACGCGAAAGCCCYUUCGGGGGCAAGUAGAGUGGCGUCCGGGUGAGUAACACGUGGGUAAUCUACCUCCGGGUGGGGAAUAACUCGCCGAAAGGCGGGCUAAUACCGCAUAAUGCAGCGGCACCGAAUGGUGAUUAGUUGUUAAAGCGGGGGACCUUAGGGCCUCGCGUCUGGAGAGGAGCCUGCGGCAGAUUAGCUUGUUGGUAGGGUAAUGGCCUACCAAGGCUGCGAUCUGUAGCUGGUCUGAGAGGACGGCCAGCCACACUGGCACUGACACACGGGCCAGACUCCUACGGGAGGCAGCAGUGGGGAAUUUUGGGCAAUGGGCGAAAGCCUGACCCAGCAACGCCGCGUGAAGGAGGAAAUCCUUCGGGAUGUAAACUUCACAAGCAAGGGAAGAGCGCGCAGGGUCGAAUAAACUCUGCGUCCGACGGUACCUUGCGUAAGCCACGGCUAACUACGUGCCAGCAGCCGCGGUAAUACGUAGGUGGCAAGCGUUGUUCGGAAUUACUGGGCGUAAAGGGCGCGUAGGCGGUUUGCUAAGUCAGUCGUGAAAGCCCGGGGCUCAACCCCGGAGGGUCGACUGAUACUGGCAGACUGGAGUACGGAAGAGGUAGCUGGAAUUCCCGGUGUAGCGGUGAAAUGCGUAGAUAUCGGGAGGAACACCUGAGGCGAAGGCGGGCUACUGGGCCGAUACUGACGCUGAUGCGCGAAAGCCAGGGGAGCGAACGGGAUUAGAUACCCCGGUAGUCCUGGCCCUAAACGAUGGACACUUGGUGUGUCGGGUUUUCAAGUCCCGGCGUGCCGGAGCUAACGCGUUAAGUGUCCCGCCUGGGGAGUACGGUCGCAAGGCUGAAACUCAAAUGAAUUGACGGGG